rnacentral:rRNA from 1 species
AGUGAACGCUGGCGGUAGGCCUAACACAUGCAAGUCGAACGGCAGCACAGUAAGAGCUUGCUCUUACGGGUGGCGAGUGGCGGACGGGUGAGGAAUACAUCGGAAUCUACUUUUUCGUGGGGGAUAACGUAGGGAAACUUACGCUAAUACCGCAUACGACCUACGGGUGAAAGCAGGGGAUCUUCGGACCUUGCGCGAUUGAAUGAGCCGAUGUCGGAUUAGCUAGUUGGCGGGGUAAAGGCCCACCAAGGCGACGAUCCGUGGCUGGUCUGAGAGGAUGAUCAGCCACACUAUAACGGGGACACGGUCCAGACUCCUACGGGAGGCAGCAGUGGGGAAUAUUGACCAAUGAGCGCAAGCCUGAUCCAGCCAUACCGCGUGGGUGAAGAAGGCCUUCGGGUUGUAAAGCCCUUUUGUUGGGAAAGAAAAGCAGCAGGUUAAUACCACGCUGUUCUGGCGGUACCCAAAGAAUAAGCACCGGCUAACUUCGUG